rnacentral:tRNA from 1 species
GGAGAGAUGGCUCAGCGGUUAAGAGGACUGACUGUUCUUCCAGAGGUCCUGAGUUCAAAUCCCAGCAACCACA